CUAGCAGAUGCAUCAACAGCUGUGACGACGGGGCCCAACGAACACCGCUGUCUUGACUUAUUGCGACGGAAAAAGAAAGAUUCCUGGAACGCAUCAGUCGCGAGCAAUUAUCUGAACUCGAUGCUGGAAAGAAAGUCUGGGCUUAUCUUGAACGGCUGGAGUGGACAACAAAGGCACGCGAUGAAGAAUCAUACCAACGAGCUAAGCAAGUUAUUGAUGCAAGGUCGGACUAAAUCCAUGUGAAUCUGAAGAAGUACUUCAGGAAAGGUUUGUGGCAGGGGUCGGUUUCACUAUGGACGGCCGCUGGGCGACAACUGCCGCUAAACACGCCUCAUUGAUCACGGUUGCGGGAUUUGGGUCAUGAGAGGAUCCAUUACAAGAUUCGUAUGAAGUUGGAUAAUUCGGGCGAGAGCCUUUUCACAGGAGGGGCACGCUGGCAGCAUGCCACAUAUUUUCCUGAAAGAGUGUUUCUUGGAAGUGGGUGAAUGGAAAGUGUGCCGCAAUCAUGAGCUCGUUUAAUGUCGAUGGAUUGGUGGCGGGAAGAUCGAGCUGGUGUUCUACAUGACAUGAUUCGUGCAACUACCCCAUUACCCUAGUUUGCGGUUUGCUGUUCCGUUCGCAGACAGAUCAUUUCUUCUUAGAGGAACUGGUAAACAUCCAACAAUAGCACGGCUUUCGUUUUAGUCCACUGCCGAGCUUCCAGUUGAUCCCUUGCAGGAUGGAUUCUAAGAUUAUCUUCAAUAAUUUUGUUGACCGAUUACCUUUUUCGGCGGAACCUCUGAAGGUGCUGCCUGUUUGUUUAGUUGCUAGAAGGUUUCGGCUCCUUCAGUGAGAUUUGACGUUUGGCAAGCCCGAUGGUGCAGGUUUUCUCGUGAGAUGGGUCGAAGAUCGCCAUUUUUUUUUAAUUUUUUAUUCUUUUUUGUCUUUCUUGGAGGUCCCAGCAGAUGUGAGAUUGAGCUCUGUGAUCUGAUAUCUCCUUGAACUAUUCAGUUUGCUGUGAGAAUCAGUGAUGCCUCAGCCAUCUGGCUUUCCAAAUCCGGAGACAUGGUCACCUCGCUUAACCCAAACGCCAUGACCACGUUUCGCGUCCUGUGGGAUAGUGGAAAGAGUGGUUCGGGUUGCGGAGGAUGCUCUGCUACUGUAAGCUGCAUCGUUGAAUGUCUCUUCAGAAAUAGCUUCACUGAGUACCUGCGAAAUCGUUCAACUUCGCAUGCUGGGGAGGGAGAUGGAUCGUGCAGAAAGAGCUGGAGAAAUGCUUACAAUGGUAAGUGAUAACUGGACCUGCUGGAAAGUGUUCUAUGUUCACAUGAUUGGUGGGGGUUUAUGGUUGAGAAGAUAUCGUCGGUGAGAUAGCUCUAUUUUGAUUAUAUAAUAAUAUCUCCUCCAUUUAAUUGCUAAAUUGCGAGCGCGGAGGAUGUGGGUUUUCAAGAAGUAAAUGGACAUCCUGCGUCGUGUGAAUAUCUUUAACCCUCGCUGUUACCGAUCACGGCGCAUACUCAAUAUUGCUUCCCCAUAUUAAUGCUCGUUGACAGCCUAUUUAGAAUAAAAUAGCACUUGUCAAUCUGCCGCUAGAAGUACUGGACCAGAUGCCUCAUCGAUUGCUGUUCAAAUUUCUCAUUGUUAGUCCAGCUCUUCAACAGGGAUUCAAUCGCAGCAUUGUAGAAGGUUUAUUGCUGCAAGCUAAUGACUUUCCACCCCCAGAACGGCACCAGCACCGUCUGCCUGGACUUGCUCUGUGGAAGUUGCAACAUCUCCGACAUUGAUUCCAACCUCUUGACAUGAGAUUGCUGUCCAAUAAUCCAACAUGAUGAAAGGGACACGGGCUUGUCUGAGGCAACCAACGUCAGAUUGGUCCUUUUUUAAGGAUAAUAUCCACCGCCUUCCUACAUCUCCUUCAUAGUUGCAUCAAAGUUGGCAGUAAUUUAUUCUCGAUUGCUAAGAGUCGGAAGAUAUGUCAGCAGGGAAAGAUCCGUCGAAGAGGAUACCAGGCUUGCAAUGAAGAUGUUCAGUGUCGUUGAAGAUUUCAUUUACAUUAGAAUACGCAAUUUGGGAAUAGAUCGAUGGUACCAAUCAUCUGGGAAUCCAACGACACAAUCUUGGAAUCUGUCCGCUUGGUGCGCAAGGUCGUCUAUCGGCACUUCCGUCGUCCCAGGGGUGAUAGCUGCUCCUCCAUUGUCUCAGACUAACUUGAGCUUCCAAACCAGUAUUAUUUCAACCGCAAAUACCACGAAGAAAUUCUGUCUGAGCUGGCCUCUAUUACACCCUGCUGGUGAAGUUCCUGAGAGCAAUAGCGUUUUGAAAUGUUGCAAGAUUUCUCCGAAAUCGCAAUUCGACUCUCUACUAAACACAAUUUACACAAAGAAGUAAAAGGAUAACUUAGACGACCUAAUGCAACAAUGUAUGAAAUCUGAGUGACUGAAUCUUGUGUAACUUUUUGCAGCAGUAAGUCCAGUUAAAGAAUGCCACAUAAUAAUUGAUGGCAUAUCUAUUUCAUGAAAUAAGACAUUUCUUAAAGCUUA